AGGAUCAUUGCUCAAAUCGGACUGCAAGUGCGAGCGUGACAUAGACGACGAAGUCUCUGUUUUGCUCAGGCUCCACCCACUUCUUCUCUUUGAUCCCCGUCUUCCUUUGGACGGCACUUCUUCUUCUUCAUCUUCUUCGCAGAGACUCCUCGAGAAGUUUAUCUGUUCGUCUUCAAAGGGUU